CUAGACAGUCAACCAACUAUACUUUCACAUAUCGAGGAUGUAGAACGAAGCGGCGGAGUAUAUUAUGGCGCGAACGAACAUCACGCGAUAUUCGCCCAUCUCCUUUCGGGUUGAACCGCUACUGCCGUUGCUGGGUUUGGAUAGUUCCGGAGGUGUCUGUUACACAGCGGACCUAAUCAAGCUCCCACAAACGGUCAGAUAUUAGCCAAAGUGAGGAGAAGCCUCAGUUACUCCCGCCGGGAACCUGUCAGGUGAAGAAAUACACAGCAGAUGAAGGUCGAGGUGGCCUUGUUGUUGACUGGUGCCUGAGUUCGUCGGAGAUAGUACAGAUUUGUGUAGAAGACGGCUAACUGCAGCCUGUUUCGCGGUUACUUCCUCGUUAACCCCUAGCCGAUGUUCAUCAACCACCUCGAAUGACACUUAUCAAGAAAACGACAUCCAUUGAUCGCUGCUGUUAGUCACUCAUCCUCAUUCAGCUACGAUAGCUGUACCCUGUUUGCCCAGCUAAGUUGAAGGAAAUGCCUUCCUACCCAGCGGGUACGCCCGACAGAAUUCCCCACUGGGUGCGACUUCUUGACCAUGUGCUAGCAUUGACAAUUGCCUGUCCGUUGGUGUCUCUUCUCUGGUGCGGAGGCUUUUUCCUGACCGAUACGUACAUCUACCCCAAUGAUAAGCCGUUCGGCUACUGGUUGAUCUUCAUCGUUGGAUCGAUGCUGUCCCUUAAUGUGCACAUUCAUUGCGAUUCGUUAAUUGCUAUAUCUGCCAGGUGUCCUGAUUCCGCGCAGCUCUUGCAAAGGCUCAUAGGAAUCGUCCUUAUCGUGACUAUCGUCUUUCAAUGGGAUGGGCUCUGGUGCCUCCUCGAUUACUACUUAGGUCAUACGCAGAUAUCAUGCUUUUACUGCUGGGCACUGGGGACUGUGGUGCUUUGUUUGACGGGAUGCCGCAACAAUAUGGUUACAGGGGUGCCAUUUAUGUGUCGUCAUGAUCGAGCUGAACUGCUCUUCGCAGCUACUACCCGCUUCCAUGCAAAAUCAUACGGCAGCCGUCUCUGGUCGUUCUGCGAUCAGCUCUUCUCCAUUUUUGUGGUUCAACCAUCUGUGAUUUUGAUUUGGCGUGGCCUUUGGAACAUCCAGGACUACACGUUACUUCCAAAAGAUCCUGUCAAAUCUGCCAAUAUUUCCUGCCUCGCAGGCACUCUGGUGACUAUUGUUUUGUACCUUCUCCAAGAUUCUGUAGCAGAAAUUACGCUUGCAUUGAGACCCUGUGCGCGAUUCGGUGUCGAGCUGGUGUGGCAGCAGUUAGCUGUGGCCUCGUCGGUAACUCUAUGGAGAGGGCAAUGGGUGUGGUUCGCGUUAAUCUUCGAAGAAUUGGCCUCGAUGUGGUUUGUGACGCUAGCCGCUGAGACUGAGUACAUCGCCGCUGUCGAAGCCAUUGUUGAAGACGAACCGCGGGACAGCGAAGGCCCUCUAUCCGCUUCUCGACGAAAUUCAACUUCCAUUGCCAGAUUCUUUGCCAAGUUGAAUUGGAAAGAGUGUUUCCUUUGUGCUGGGCAACCAGAGCCUAGUGCGAUGACCAAGCUAAAGGAAAGCACAGAUUGGCCGCGUCCUGAGCAGCUCAGACAUCGGAAGGCCAAAUUUGAAAGUAAUGAUUUAAUAAACGCCGUCAAUUUUUAAAAGAGCUCGUGUAUAGCGGUUGUACACUCAAAACUACCAGUUAAAUAUAAAUUAAUAUAGAUACGCAGAAAAUAAGCUAGUCAUUCAUCUGGCAUUGUAAACGAAAAAAAAAAGAACGAAAUCAAGAUAUUUCUAUAACUAUUGGUAUCUGCAAUAUUUGUUUGUAGCUUAGCGAGAAAUAGAACAAUAGGAAACCUGCAAAAAAUGUCACUCUCCAUAUAGCGUUGGUUAAACCAGCCAAUAACUUAGCUGAGUAUUGGUUAUGUCGGUAUUCGAACAAUGGACUAAUGUCAAAAAGCUGAUGAAAGGAGAACAAGACUAAAAGGUGAUCCUUUUAUCAUCAUUCUCUAUCACACAUUUGUUAUUAUAUCUAUAUAUUAUUACGUACUAUUUUAGUUAUUUGUCUCAACGGGGUACAGUUAUAAAGUCAGAGGGUCGUUUGACGCUAUCAAAGCGGGUGUCAGUGAGCGACAAGAAUCUCACAAAUACAAUUCGAGACGGAGCCAUGGUACAAGCCAGCUUCUGCGAGAAACAGUUACCUUUCUUGCCACCCUAGAAGAUCUCGAUGUGCCUCUGUCAACAACACAUUUCAGUCGUCACUGGCAAAAUGAAGCUCGUGAAAUAUCAAUGGAUCAUACCUGCAUUAGACUGUAAGCUUUUAGUUAGCCCAGGUUAAUACUACUCAUUCAUAAGUCGGGACGAGAAUGGGUCGCCGUGAAGGCAACGAGAAGCAAGCGUCUCUACACCUCAAUUUUUGAUCCUCCUUCAAAUCACAUGUCACCUAUUCGUCCGUUUUUUUAAUCUAAAUUACCCGAUUGAGAUAAGCAAAUAUAGUUGGUAUAUUUACUAAUUCACAUCUUCAAUUCCAACACUAAUCUACGUUGAAAUGGGUCGGCCUUUAUCGAAGCUCGCAAUUCAACUCCAGGGGGGAGUAUGCCAUGAGGUUUAAAAAUAUUCUGGAUCCUUUUUAACCAAGUGUUUACGAUGUCUUUGAUUAUAGAAUUCUCACCGACUACAAGGUUUACUCGGCGAUCUUUUCCGCCGCUAUAACUCCAAGAUGGAGGUCAUAUUCGUGUUCGAAUUUUUUUCAUCCUCCAUGGUUUAUGGAUCCGUAACCGUUUUCGUUCUAGGAGACCUUCAGCAGCGUCAAUAGAAAUUAUUUUGGCCAAGAGAAUUAAUUUUCGUAGUAUUAUUACGGUUACUAAAGAGUACCUUAAAAGAGCGUUUCCGAGAAAAAAAAGGGGUUAAAUAUGGACCCCUGCACUUGUAAGAGAACAAACAGGUCGUCUGAAAAACGGUUUUUCACACUGGGAUCUUUCCAUACAAAUAGGCCCAUAUCUGCUGAACCAAAGUGCCUGAUAUUAAAAAAUCAUCAACGAGUAUUAAUGUGAUAUAUAAAUAUUGAAUUUCGUAAAUUCCAUAAAAAGCUGAGAAUAUGUGGCUUACAUUUUAUCAGAGACCAACUAUUUUAAAAAUGUAAAACAAUUUUAGGCUAUUUAACCAAAUAAAAACAGUCUCCGAUUUUCUUCAAAUGUAGAUCUUCAUUAGUAACUAGAUGAUUAAAAAGAGGCUGCAUUUUUAAUCUAAUUGUAACCGUCGUUGUCAUUGUGCUGCAGUUGUUACGAGCUUAUCUUGUACUGUUUCGUAUAAGAAUACAUUUUAAAGAAGAUGUUAACCGUCAGAUUUGGAGUCGUUUGAUCAGUGCAACCCAGCAGAGUUAAUGACCUCGAAGCUCAUUCUGCCCGCCCUAUGGACGUUUUGCCGACCUUCGACUCCCUUUCACCAGGUGCUUCAUCAUACAACGCAGUAAUAUGCUACUGUUAGAAGAUCAGAACCAUGGGAAUAUAUAUUGCGGACGGUUACUGGCUUACCCACCAAUCUGAACAUCAUAAAAGUAACACUGCUUCAGGAAUACAAAUGCAGGCCAACCAGGAUCAGACGAUAGGCAAGGCUUGCCCUUGAUUCAGCUUAUUCUAACCCGAACGAAUCUGUACGGAGUGUGCUGUUGGAGAAGUGUGGGACCGUCCAUUUAGCUAGGUGAUGUGGACUUACAAAGAAACAAGGUUAUCAAAAUGUAUGCUCUUAAAUUAUUUCAACAGUAAGAGGUUUUAAGUUUUCGACCUAGGUAAUGGUGGUCAAUUGACUGAUGAAUACUCAUUGACCAUGGCAGUCAUUGGCGAGCAUCAGUGGUUCACACUAUGGCCUAGUCCCUGCUUUUAUACUUAUGCUACUAUAUUGUAGUUUUUAAUGCAUUCUUAUUAUUUAAACUAUUCUAUAUAUACAUAUAGUAGCCUGCAGUUGCGCCUAUCGCCUUUUUCGGGAAAAGGAUAGUAUAAGGACAAGGAGAAAGUUAGCAUAAAUAUGCAGCCAUCUAACUGCUAUUAAAAGUAAAAUUUCUCCUAUUUGUAAAAUGUUGAAACAGUAAAUCCUCGCAUCGAUAACAGAUUCAAUAUGUCUCGGAAUACAAAUAGCAAUUAAGUUUUAAAAAUAAUCGUAAGAAAGAAUAAAAACAUAUUAUUAUUAUUAUUAUUAUAGAAACAAUGCUAAGCAAGAUAGAAAUGCAAUAAAGGAAAUAAUAAAAUAGCAACUAUUUGUUUUGACACCUUA